GCGCCCGUAGCUCAGCUGGAUAGAGCGUCGGCCUCCGGAGCCGAAGGCCUCCGGUUCAAAUCCGGACGGGCGCG
rnacentral:tRNA from 1 species